UAGUUUAAUAAAAACAAUGGUCUUGUAAGCCAAAACUGAGAUAGUUUUCUCCCAAAACU
rnacentral:tRNA from 1 species